GACGAACGCUGGCGGCGUGCUUAACACAUGCAAGUCGAACGGAAGGGCCCUGCUUUUGUGGGGUGCUCGAGUGGCGAACGGGUGAGUAACACGUGAGUAACCUGCCCUUGACUUUGGGAUAACUUCAGGAAACUGGGGCUAAUACCGGAUAGGAGCUCCUGCUGCAUGGUGGGGGUUGGAAAGUUUCGGCGGUUGGGGAUGGACUCGCGGCUUAUCAGCUUGUUGGUGGGGUAGUGGCUUACCAAGGCUUUGACGGGUAGCCGGCCUGAGAGGGUGACCGGCCACAUUGGGACUGAGAUACGGCGCAGACUCCUACGGGAGGCAGCAGUGGGGAAUAUUGCACAAUGGGCGGAAGCCUGAUGCAGCAACGCCGCGUGCGGGAUGACGGCCUUCGGGUUGUAAACCGCUUUCGCCUGUGACGAAGCGUGAGUGACGGUAAUGGGUAAAGAGGCACCGGCUAACUACGUG
rnacentral:rRNA from 1 species